rnacentral:rRNA from 1 species
UACGGAGGGUGCAAACGUUGCUCGGAAUCAUUGGGCGUAAAGCGCGCGUAGGCGGCGAGGCAAGUUGGAUGUGAAAUCCCUGGGCUCAACCUAGGAUGUGCAUACAAAACUGCCUUGCUUGAAUCUCGGAGGGGGUCAGGGAAUUCCCGGUGUAGAGGUGAAAUUCGUAGAUAUCGGGAGGAACACCAGUGGCGAAGGCGCUGACCUGGACGAUGAUUGACGCUGAGGCGCGAAAAGCCGUGGGGGAGCAAACAGG